ensembl:lncRNA
CACAAAUCAGCCCUCAGCACCCCCAAAUCCUCCUCAGGAGAAAUGGGGUUUUCUCCUCCCAAAACAUUCACCCCAAACCCAAAUGGGGUUUUCUCCUCUCAGUGCAUUCACCCCAAACCCAAAUGGGGUUUUCCGUUUCCAACACCCUCACCCCAAAUCCAGAGCGGAUCUUCCCAUUCCAAUCUAUUCACCCCAAACCCAAAUAGGAUUUCCCGCACAGUUACCCCAAACCCAAAUGGGGUUUUCCUUUCCAACGCAUUCACCCCAAACCCAAAUGGGAUUUCCAUUUCCAAUUCAUUCACCCCAAACCCAAAUGGGGUUUUGCCAUUCCAAUGCAUUCACCCCAAACCCAAAUGGGGUUUUCUCCUCUCAGAACAUUCACCCCAAACCCAAAUGGGGUUUUCUCCUCCCAAAACAUUCACCCCAAACCCAAAUGGGGUUCUCCUUUCCAACACAUUCACCCCAAACCCAAAUGGGGUUUUCCUUUCUAACACAUUCACCCCAAACCCAAAUGGGGUUUUCCGUCCCAGCCCCAUUUGCCCCGCAGUGCCCUCAGUGCGCAUCCCGGACUGCUGUGUGCACAGAGGGCUCUUAAUGAGCCAAUAAUCCUUAAUGGGAUUGAAUUGCCUCUUUAUGAGCGCUAAUUACAGAGAUACGGCAAUUAGCGCCGUACAAUUAACGCAGCUCUGCUCACUGUAAGGGCUGAGCGGCGAUGUGACCCCAUGGCCACCGCUAUGGGCAGCGGACCCACACUGUGCUGACACUGACCCCGACCCUACAACCCUGACCCUAUAACACCAACCCCAACCCUGACCCUAUAACCCCAACCCUGACCCUAUAACCCCAACCCUGAUCCUGUAAUCCUGACUCUAUGACCCCAAUCCUGACCCUAUGGUCCCAAACCUGACCCUAUAACCCCAACUCUGAUCCUACAAUCCCAACCCUGACCCUAUGACCCCAACCUUGACCCUAUAACCCCAACCCUGACCCUAUGGUCUCAACCCAGACCCUGUAACCCUGACCCUAUAACCCCAACCUGACCCUAUAACCCUGACCCUGGCCCUAUGACCCCAACCCUGAUCCUGUAACCCUGACUCUAUAAGCCCAACCCUGAUCCUAUGGUCCCAACCCUGACCCUACAACCCUGACCCUAUAACCUCAACUACGACCCUGUGACCCCAACCCUGACCUUACAACCCCAACCCUGAUCCUGUAGCCCUGACCCUAUAGCGCCAACCCUGACCCUGUGACCCUGACCCUAUAAUCCUAACCCCAACCCUAACCCUGACCCUAUGAUUCUUAUCCUGACCCUAGCCCUAUAACUCUGACCUUGAUCCUAUAACCCUAACCCUAAUCCUAGUCCUAAUCCUAACCCUAACCCUGACCCUAACCAUAUAACCCUGAUCCCAUAACUCUAACCUUGACCCUGACCUUGAUCCUAUAACCCUAACCCUAACCUUGACCCUCAACCUAUAACCCCAAUCCUAACCCUGAUCAUAUAACCCUAAUCCUAGCCCUGACCCUGACCCUAACCCUAUAACCCAAACUCUAACACUAACCCUGACCCUAUAACCCCAUCCCUAACCCUAUGAUCCUAACGCUAACCUGACGCUGACACAGACCCUAACCCCAACCAGUCCUGACCCUAUAACUCUAACCCAAACCGUAUCCCUGACCCUAUAACUCUAACCCCAUAACUCUGACCCUAUAAAUCAAUCUCGACCCCAACCCCAUACCCAACACCAGUCCUAAACUGAAACCUGACCCUAACACUCUAACCCUAACCCCAACCCUAACCCUGACCCCAUAAUGCUAACCCUAAUCCUGACCCCAUAACUCUAACCCUAACCCUGACCCCAUAACUCUAACCCUAACCCUGACCCCAUAACUCUAACCCUAACCCUGACCCCAUAACGCUAACCCUAACCCUGACCCCAUAACAGUAACCCUAACCCUGACCCCAUAACUCUAACCCUAACCCUGACCCCAUAACUCUAACCCUAACCCUAGUCCUAAUCCCUGUAGGAUUUUUCUCAGUGGGUUUUGGGUCUGUAGAAGUUUUCUCAAUGGGUUUCGGGUCCAGGAGGGUUUUCUCAAUGGGUUUUGUGUCCAUCGGAGUUUUCCCAAUGGGAUUUGGGCCCCGUGGGACUUUUCUCAAUGGGGUUUGGGUGUAUGGGAGAUUUCUCAAUGGGUUUUGGGUCAGUAGGAUUUUUCCCAAUAGGAUUUGGGUCUAUGGGAGUUUUCUCAAUGGGUUUCGGGUCCAUAGGAGUUCUCCCAAUGGGGUUUGGGCCCUGUGGGAAUUUGCUCAGUGGGUUUGGGGUCUGUAGGAUUUUUCUCAGUGGAUUUUGGCUCUGUAGAAGUUUUCUUUUUCAAUGAGUUUUGGGUCUGUGGGAGUUUUCUCAAUGGGGUUUGGGGUCGAUGGGGGUUUUCUCAGUGGGGUUUGGGUGUACGGGAUUUUUCUCAAUGGGUUUUGUAUCCAUCAAAGAUGUCCUAAUGGGGUCUGAGCCCCGUGGGAGUUUUCUCAAUGGGGUUUGGGUGUAUGGAGUUUUCUCAGUGGGUUUUGGGUCAGUAGGAUUUUUCCUAAUAGGAUUUGGGUCUAUAGAAGUUUUUCUCAAUGACUUUUGGGUGUAUGGGUAUUUUCUUGAUAGGUUUUGUGUCCGUAGGAGUUUUCCCAAUGGGUUUUGGGGUCUGUAGGAUUUUUCUCAGUGGAUUUUGGCUCUGUAGAAGUUUUCUUUUUCAAUGAGUUUUGGGUCGGUGGGAGUUUUCUCAAUGGGGUUUGGGGUCGAUGGGGGUUUUCUCCACGGAUUUUGCGUCCAUUGGAGUUUUCUCAAUGGGGUGUGGGCCCUGGGGGGGGGGGGGGUUCUCAAUGGGUUUUGGGUCUAUAGGACUUUUUUCAAUGGGUUUUGGGUCCAUGAGAGUUUUCCCAAUGGGUUUUGGGUCCAGAGGAAUUUUCCCGAUGGGGUUUGGGCCCCGCGGGAGUUUUCUCAGCGGCUUUUGUGUCUGUAGAAGGUUUUUUUUUUCAACGGGUUUUGGGUCCAUUGCAGUUUUCUCGAUGGGUUUUGGGCCCUACGGGAGUUUUCUCAAUGGGUUUUUGGGUCUAUGAGAGUUUUCUCAAUGGGGCUUUGGGCCCUCCGGGGGUUUCUCAAUGGCUUUCGGCCCGCAGAGGCUCCGGUUGGCGGCGGCUCCGAGCACCACCCGAGCAGCAGCGCGGCUCUCUCGGCCGGAAGGACGGCCCGCCGCUCCGGUUCGGUUCUGCCCCGCGGAGCGGUUCGGCCCGCCGGGUCCCGCCGCCGUCCGUCGCCGCGCUGUUUGUUUGCCCGUUGCCCGGAGCCGCGACCGUCCGCUGCGCUCCGCGCCUCUGCGGUUUCCCGUCCCCCGAAAGCGGUUAUUUUGGGAUUUGAGUUUUUGUCGCUUUUCUUUUCCUGUUGUUAUCGGGGAGAUCCCAACCUCCGCUCGCGCUGACGCGGAGCUGACGGCAGCGCUACGAAUCGGGAAAGGGGGGGUGGGGGGGAAACGGGGGGCGGCCCCACGUAGAGAGCGGCAGCGGCACCGCGUGGCCACCGGGAGCCGCGCAGCGGCGGCUGCGGGCAGCGCUGCGCCGGGUGGGACUGCGGGGGUUUGAGGUCCCUCCCAACGCAACGGCGCUGUGAUGCCGCGGUUCUGGGGACUGUAGGGUCCCUCCGAGCCGCCCGUGCUGCGAUUCUAUGGGUCUGUGGUCUAUAGGGCCUCUCCAAAGCAACCGUGCUGUGCAUCCGUUGCCUGUGAUCCAUAGGAUCCCUCCAACCCACCCGUGCUGUGAUCCCGUGGUUCUGUGAUCUAUAGGGCCCCUUCAACCCAACGAUGUGAUUCUGUGAUCUAUAGGGUCCCUUCCAACCCACCCUUGCUGUGAUCCCAUUGUUCUGUGAUCUAUACGGUCCGUUCCAACCCAAGGAUGUGAUUCUGUCAUCUAUAGGGUCCCUUCCAACACACCCGUGUUGUGAUCCCUCGGUUCAGUGAUCUAUAGGGCCCCUCCAACCCAACAAUGUUAUUCUGUGAUCUAUAGGGUCCCUUUCAACCCAACCACUCCACUCAGUGAUCCCAUGGUUCUAUGAUCGAUGGGGUCCUCUCAUCCCAACCACUCUGUGAUCCCAUGGUUCUAUGACCUAUAGGGUCCCUUUCAACCCAACCACUCAGUGAUCCCAUGGUUCUAUGAUCUACAGGGUCCUCCCAUCCCAACCACUCAGUGAUCCCAUGGUUCUAUGGUCUAUAGGGUCCUCCCAUCCCAACCACUCAGUGAUCCCAUGGUUUUAUGAUCUAUAGGGUCCCUUUCAACCCAA